UGGGGAAUAUUGGACAAUGGGCGCAAGCCUGAUCCAGCCAUGCCGCGUGAGUGAUGAAGGCCUUAGGGUUGUAAAACUCUUUCGAUGGUGAAGAUAAUGACGGUAACCAUUAAAGAAGCCCCGGCUAAUUUCGUGCCAGCAGCCGCGGUAAUACGAAAGGGGCAAGCAUUGUUCGGAAUUACUGGGCGUAAAGCGCGCGUAGGCGGCCUAUCAAGCUAGGGGUGAAAUCCCGGAGCUCAACUCCGGAACUGCCCUUAGAACUGGUAAGCUUGAGGAUGUGAGAGGAUAGUGGAAUACCGAGUGUAGAGGUGAAAUUCGUAGAUAUUCGGUGGAACACCAGUGGCGAAGGCGACUGUCUGGCACAUUUCUGACGCUGAGGUGCGAAAGCGUGGGGAGCGAACAGGAUUAGAUACCCCGGUAGUCC
rnacentral:rRNA from 1 species